rnacentral:rRNA from 1 species
AGGGAAUCUUCGGCAAUGGACGAAAGUCUGACCGAGCAACGCCGCGUGAGUGAUGACGGCCUUCGGGUUGUAAAGCUCUGUGAUCGGGGACGAACGGUCAGCAGACGAAUACUCUGCUGAAGUGACGGUACCCGAAUAGCAAGCCACGGCUAACUACGUGCCAGCAGCCGCGGUAAUACGUAGGUGGCAAGCGUUGUCCGGAAUUAUUGGGCGUAAAGCGCGCGCAGGCGGCUUCUUAAGUCCAUCUUAAAAGUGCGGGGCUUAACCCCGUGAUGGGAUGGAAACUGAGAGGCUGGAGUAUCGGAGAGGAAAGUGGAAUUCCUAGUGUAGCGGUGAAAUGCGUAGAGAUUAGGAAGAACACCGGUGGCGAAGGCGACUUUCUGGACGACAACUGACGCUGAGGCGCGAAAGCGUGGGGAGCAAAC